AGAGUUUGAUCAUGGCUCAGGAUGAACGCUAGCUACAGGCUUAACACAUGCAAGUCGAGGGGAAACGACAUCGAAAGCUUGCUUUUGAUGGGUGUCGACCGGCGCACGGGUGAGUAACGCGUACUACCAACCUCGCCCCACCUACGUUGGGGUAACCUUGCGAAAGUAAGACUAAUACCCAAUGAUAUCUCUAGAAGACAUCUGAAAGAGAUUAAAGAUUUAUCGGUGAUGGAUGGGGAUGCGUCUGAUUAGCUUGUUGGCGGGGUAACGGCCCACCAAGGCAACGAUCAGUAGGGGUUCUGAGAGGAAGGUCCCCCACAUUGGAACUGAGACACGGUCCAAACUCCUACGGGAGGCAGCA
rnacentral:rRNA from 1 species